UUGCUGUUGCAAGGGAGGAGGACCAACAAUGCUACUUGUGGCUGACGAACCUUAAAAUGUUAAUUGUCUGUCGCUCACACUCCCUGCCGGGUCUGCAGCAUGUACCCGUCUGUUUGCUAUGAGCCAGAGAUAAACAGCUUUAUUAAUAGCUAAGAGACUUAUUCUUCAGUUGUGGAAAGCCACUGCAGCACCAGGUAUAGAAGACUGGAUGAACGAGAAGACAGCGCUGGCUGUUGGAGAAAACAAGGCAUUUCAGGAAAUGGACAAACUAAGCAAGUUUAACAUUUGGAAAGCUUUUGUUGAACUCUUCUCUAGUUAUCUAUGGGACAUGAUACCUGUGACUUGUGAUUGGUCUAGUCCCUAUGAAAUUGACAGUAGUGUUAUUUUGUUUAGUUUUUCCACACACCCCCUUUUCCUUUCCUUCAUCUGUAUGAAGGGUCAGGGUGUAUUUAUAGGAUUUGUUGUUGUCAUUUUGAUUGUGUAAUCUCAUAUAAACUUUAAAUAAAUGUUAAUUAAAAAACCUAGGCAGUUAAUUAAAAAACUACCAUCA